UGGGAAGUCGAACCGGGGAUGCCAGGGGCUGGGAGGAGGCGCAGGGGGUCGUCGGAGGGCUGUGGGCCCGGGCGGCGGGGGUGCUGCCCAGCAUUACCACUGUACUCCGUACCGUCCCGCUGCGCUCCUAAGAUGGCAAAAACGGCGACUUUUGCUGGACGAUUUUCCCAUAGUCCAACACCGCAGUGCCAAGUGUGCCGGGGGCUGCUCCACGGCACAGCGCUGGUGCGGCGAGUCGCGGCGUGGGGGAUUAUCCUGCAUCUGAGACAUGCCGCCGCCCUCACUCCAGCCUGAUCUCCCAUGUUUAUUCCUUCGCUCAUCAAACCACUUCCUGAGAACCUACUGUGCCAGCGGAUCCUACGACAGAAGUGGAGACUCUCGGGACUCACCGCCUGGAAGGAGCUCUGAGUUUUGGGAACCAACUACAACGCGCUGCACAGCACUAAGGGACGCUCUCCUUGUACCAGGACGCCACCCUUGCUGACGUAUCUCGUGGUCCUCUCUGCGUUGCAGGGCUGUGAACUGGGUAAGGCCCCAAAGUGCAGGAGUAGUGAAGUCAGCAACGGGGAUGCCCUGCAGGGAGGCCGGAAAGUGGUUCUGUCAGGGGAAAAUGUGGAAGUGCUCAGUUCAAUAAGGAGAGAAAACAACGUGCUGGGGCUGCUAAGAUGUGUGGUAAAUGAUCGCUAAUCUCUUGCUGUACCUAAGUUUGAAAUGAAACUUCAUCAUCGGUUUGUAUGUAUGGGAGAAAACACAGCCUAUGCGGAUCUCUAUUUAUCUACUUACUUGGUGCUGGGGUGGAACCCGGGUCAUCACACCUGCUAAGCACUGUGUACCCCUGAGCUGCACUGUGAGUCCCAGAACAGUUUACGGAGGCUUCAGCUUGACCAUCGUUUCAGGAACCCACUGGGAAUCCUG
rnacentral:lncRNA from 1 species